rnacentral:misc_RNA from 1 species
UCCGGUAUUUCACCGGCAGUCCCACUAGAGUGCUCGGCAUUACCCGGUGGCAACUAGGGAUGAGGGUUGCGCUCGUUGCGGGACUUAACCCAACAUCUCACGACACGAGCUGACGACAGCCAUGCAGCACCUAGUUUCGUGCCCUUGCGGGAAUCCCGGUUUCUCGGGACGUCACUAACUUUCAAGCCCAGGUAAGGUUCCUCGCGUAUCAUCGAAUUAAACCACAUGCUCCUCCGCUUGUGCGGGCCCCCGUCAAUUCCUUUGAGUUUCAAUCUUGCGACCGUACUCCCCAGGUGGAUAACUUAAUGCUUUCGCUUAGACGCUAACAGUAUAUCGCUAACAUCGAGUUAUCAUCGUUUAGGGCGUGGACUAC